UGGGGAAUAUUGCACAAUGGGGGAAACCCUGAUGCAGCGACGCCGCGUGAGCGAAGAAGGCUUUCGAGUCGUAAAGCUCUGUCCUAUGAGAAGAUAAUGACGGUAUCAUAGGAGGAAGCCCUGGCUAAAUACGUGCCAGCAGCCGCGGUAAUACGUAUGGGGCGAGCGUUGUCCGGAAUUAUUGGGCGUAAAGGGUACGUAGGCGGUUUUUUAAGUCAGGUGUCAAAGCGUGGAGCUUAACUCCAUUAAGCACUUGAAACUGAAAGACUUGAGUGAAGGAGAGGAAAGUGGAAUUCCUAGUGGAGCGGUGAAAUGCGUAGAUAUUAGGAGGAAUACCGGUGGCGAAGGCGACUGUCUGGACUGUUACUGACGCUCAGGUACGAAAGCGUGGGGAGCAAACAGG
rnacentral:rRNA from 1 species